CUAAACCAGUCCUGCAAGAAAUAUUAAAGGGGAUUCUUUGAGCAAGAGAGAGCCCAAAAGUAACAAAGACCAGAAAAGGAAGAGACAAGCUCCAGGAACAGCAAGUUAACAGGUAAUGCAAUUGUAAUCCCUAUCUGCUGAAGAGAAAUGACCUUACAUUGAGAUGUGCAUCAAAAGUAAUUUAGAGUAGCAGAUCCCUGUCAUAUCUGAGACUUGUCGAUCAUUAGCUGUCAAGAGUGUUCAUCCUGUCACUUUGAUUAAAGAGAGAAAAAAGAAGAAGAGGGUACACAGUCAAGCAUAGGAGCACAAUCUUUCUUCUAUUUUGUGCUGGAAAGGAAUAGAUUUCCAUGAUGUCAUUAUGGUGCUACUGCUAAUGGCUACAUAUAAAGAAAACAGUCUAACCAGCAGGACAGCUCUGCCUCAUGAAAUCUUUUAGAGAUGGAGGCUUCCUCCAUCUCAUUCUUGUUCAGACAUUGCCCUCAUCUUCAUAAUCAAAACUGUGCCACUGCUCAAAUCCUUGAAGCCUAAAGGAAGGAGAACAGCAGUUCAGGACAAGCAACUUGACUUUUAAAUUGGAACUGACCUAGACAUUGUAUAUGUAUGAAUUUUGCUCUAUUUCCUUAAGAGAAUGGAGUCCUGUAACCAAUCUGGUUGCCAGGGCACCAGGAAAUGUGGUCCCUAGCUAUGAAGCCAUGAGCCCAGCUUCAGCAAUUUUACUGUGAAAAGAACCAGGAAUUAAAAUUUGGUGUAUGUUAAUCUCUGCCACAGAGAUUAUAUACUUUCUAUGAAUCUUGAGAUAUUUUUCAAAAUUGUUCUACGAAGUGUUCAUUAACUGAGUCUAUUCAAAAUGUUAGUAACCACAAUAAUCUGUAAUGUUAACAAAUAAAAAAUUUCAACUCUGUGAAAUCAUUAAUAAGAUCAACAUCAACAUUCUGUUUGGGAAAUAAUUGACUCGGUAAGCCAACAUCUCAUUUUAUAGAAACAGAAGGGUGUGGGCGUGUUACCAAUUUGUAUGCUGACCACAAGCAUUUACAGUGUCAUGGGCUUUAGUGAAUAUCAUCUACAUGAAGGAUAGGGAGCAGAACUUCAUCUUGUAGGUUGCUAAAGGAGUCAUUUAACAUACUUUCUUUUGUACC